UAUGCCUUCAGUAUUUUGAAUGCAUGUCCUAAAAAGGCAGAGACUACCUCCCUAGGCAUUUUAUUACUCAUAUGGCCAUGGAAAAGACUUUGGGAGAAACUUAAGUCUGUAAGAUUCAUCCAACAGAAUAGACUGGACUAAUAUUCAGAGAGGGAAUUUCUCUGUGACUAAGAUGCAGCCUUUAAGAAGAAUAUGAGUGAUUCUCUGACCGUCCCCUCUGCCCACUCCUGCCAUGACUCUGGA
rnacentral:lncRNA from 1 species